CCACUUUCAUAUAGUAAAAUUAAAUUUUGGCCUAUGAAAUAAAAACAUAAAAAAUUGGCCAGUUUUUGUGUAAAAGUACAAAAUUACCCUUCACUUUAAAAUUUAAAAAAAUGGCCAGUCAAAAAUACUCCCUCACUUCUCUCGCUCGCUCUCUCUCUCCUUUCAUCUCCCAAUCCACAGUUGCAUUUCUUCUCUCUCGAGACAGUCGCCGGUCACCGCCUCCGCCUCCGUCGUCGUCGCCUCUGCCGCAGCCGCCUGAAAUUCCUGGCGAGGCAGCUUCUCCGGCGAAGUUGCCGCCGCAACCUGAAAUCUCCUCUCUUUCUCUUUGCCAACAAUUUCACCUUCUCCGUCAAAACCUCCUCAUCAGGCGGAGUUCGUUCCCUACUUCACAGUGGCCGCGUUCGAGCUCAGCCGUGAUUAACGGUGUGAUUCGACUGCGGAUCCUCCAUCGCCGUCCAAGUAGGGUAGAUCUGAGCUUUCUUUUUGGGCGGCCGAUUUGGUCGAGCGCCAGGAUGGCCUCGAUGGCCAACGCCGCCAUGUCGAAUGCGGCGAGGCGAUACUAAAGCUUGGCGGUAGGGAGGACGAAAUAAAUCUGAGCGGCGUUGAGUAGGUCGUCAUGGGGGAGGGAUGGGAUGAAAUCGUCGAAGUAGAUGCGAAGUUGCAGAGAAAGAAGGAAUUGGGGAUAAAUUUAGGGAUUGGAGUGCUUGGGAAGCGGUUAUGGGAAGAGAGAAGAGGCGCAAUUCACUGGUGCCUUUUUCCUUGUGUAACUUUUCCUUGAUGCCUUUUCCUUGAUUCCUUGUUGCAAUAAUGAGUUUAUGGGGGAGGUGUGCAUUUCACAAUCGUGGAGCUGCUGUUGUCAUUUUCUGCCAAUUUUGGGGAAUGUCCUUUAGAGAUAUGUAGAAUUUAUGUAGCUUAGAUCUCUCUCUCUUAUGCUCAUUGGUUGAAUUUUUUAUGAGA
rnacentral:lncRNA from 1 species